rnacentral:rRNA from 1 species
GUGCUUAACACAUGCAAGUCGAGCGAAAGGAUUCCCUUCGGGGAUGAAUUUAGCGGCGGACGGGUGAGUAACACGUGGGCAACCUGCCUUAUAGAGGGGGAUAGCCUUCCGAAAGGAAGAUUAAUACCGCAUAACAUCAUUUUACCGCAUGGUAGUUUGAUCAAAGGAGCAAUCCGCUAUAAGAUGGGCCCGCGGCGCAUUAGCUAGUUGGUGAGGUAACGGCUCACCAAGGCGACGAUGCGUAGCCGACCUGAGAGGGUGAUCGGCCACAUUGGGACUGAGACACGGCCCAGACUCCUACGGGAGGCAGCAGUGGGGAAUAUUGCACAAUGGGGGAAACCCUGAUGCAGCAACGCCGCGUGAGUGAUGAAGGCCUUCGGGUUGUAAAGCUCUGUCUUUGGGGACGAUAAUGACGGUACCCAAGGAGGAAGCCACGGCUAACUACGUGCCAGCAGCCGCGGUAAUACGUAGGUGGCAAGCGUUGUCCGGAUUUACUGGGCGUAAAGGGAGCGUAGGUGGAUAUUUAAGUGGGAUGUGAAAUCCCCGGGCUUAACCUGGGGGCUGCAUUCCAAACUGGAUAUCUAGAGUGCAGGAGAGGAGAGUGGAAUUCCUAGUGUAGCGGUGAAAUGCGUAGAGAUUAGGAAGAACACCAGUGGCGAAGGCGACUCUCUGGACUGUAACUGACACUGA